rnacentral:rRNA from 1 species
UACGAAGGUGGCAAGCGUUACUCGGAAUUACUAGGCGUAAAGGGCAGGUAGGUGGUUCGGUAAGUCUGUUGUGUAAGCUCCUGGCUUAACUGGGAGAGGUCAACGGAAACUACCGGACUUGAGUAUAGGAGAGGUUACUGGAAUUCCCGGUGUAGCGGUGAAAUGCGCAGAUAUCAGGAGGAACACCGGUGGCGAAGGCGGGUCUCUGGGCCGAUACUGACGCUGAGGCACGAAAGCGUGGGGAGCAAACAGG